AUUCAUAUAGUUUAAUUAGAACAAUAAUUUGUGGUAUUAUAAGUGUAAUUAUUACUAUGGAUC
rnacentral:tRNA from 1 species